GUUGUACCAGCGCAAUAGCAUUUUUCAGAUCAAAAUUUUCUUCCGGCGGCGGCAUUUUUGGCGUUUCGUCUGAGCUGGCUAACUUUCGUUUAGUUAUUGUGCAAAUUUCCCAAUAGAUGUCUCUAGUUUGCUUACAGAUUUCGUUGAAUUCGUUGGACGGUAAUUCCUGGUACCUUUCGUCUAGACAAUUUUCGAUCACUUUUUUUAAUUCUUUGGCUAAAUUAAGAUUCGACUCUAAAGUGUCUUUAGAAAUUUGCUUGUAGAUUGACUUUUUAAGGUUGUCUUUGAUUCUUUUUAGGUCGCUUAUUGCUUGCCUGAUAGUUGGGAAUAAUAAAAUGUUUGCUAUUGGUGGGAUUUGUUUUCUCGGGUAAUUCAUAACAAAAUCGAAUACAUAUCAAGUUUUCUAAUACAUACAUGUUUGUACAAUGCUGUUCCUGUUCAUACUCGGCCAAUACCUUGUUAUUGUUGUACUGCUGGUGCUGCUUGGCUCAUCACGGCUAUGCGGCUAAGUUUUGCACUGUCGUACUGUUAAUUCUGCUUGGCUCAUCACGGCUACGUUUUGCACUGCGGGACGGUUGAGCAGCUACCUGCUUGCUGCUUUCCGUGUGAUUUUUUUUUUGUAAACUGUCACUUGUCUAUCGGUGGUUUGACGUACUUUACUGUUAUCACUUCGAUACCGUUGCUGAAUUUUGUGAACUGUCAAAGUCUGUUUUUCAAAGCCUUUUCAAGUGCUCUCCGUGUUUUCGUCUAGUGAAAUAGUGACACUUCAUUGAGUUGUUGUUCGAUUAUCGCGCACAAGAUGUAGAAUGUCGCUAGCAUAAGAGCUACCGCUACACAGAAAAGCGCAAUUGGCUGAUACAUUUUGAAUUGUUCAGGCUAACUGCAUUGUUCACGCGUGUCUGGGUAUGCAUACGUUCGUAGUUAGUGAUUAACUUAUACGCCAGGUAAAUAAGUACGAAAAUCACUAUGGCCACUAAGGUGUACGCAAUAACUUCCGUCGAAACUGUGGUUCUCUCGGCGUGUUCCUUGUUUUUCGCGUUGCUAGCAUUGAUUAUGCUCACAAUUUGUUCGUGUGUAACCGGUGGCACUGCUGGUUUUGUUUCGGUUGAACCCAUUUUUGCUUCGGUUACACCAGAUUUUCACUUUAAACCGACGAGCUAAUUCUUUCGUCACGGUCAGCCAUGUAAUAGGUUACCGGACUUCGGAUAUUAAACUUGACUUAACUAACUGAGUGAUGGUUAACGAAUGAAUCUUUAUUUCGGAGAAGGCUUAAGUGGUAACCUAAUGUGGUAAAGAAUGGUUGAACGAGGAGUGAGCACAACGCUUGGUAUAUUUGAUAAACAGAUGUCGUAAAUGCGGACAGUGCUUGUUGUGCACAUAUGGUAACAAUUUGGAG
rnacentral:lncRNA from 1 species